UGGGGAAUAUUGGGCAAUGGGCGCAAGCCUGACCCAGCAACGCCGCGUGAAGGAAGAAGGCUUUCGGGUUGUAAACUUCUUUUAAGGGGGAAGAGGAGAAGACGGUACCCCUAGAAUAAGCCACGGCUAACUACGUGCCAGCAGCCGCGGUAAUACGUAGGUGGCAAGCGUUGUCCGGAUUUACUGGGUGUAAAGGGCGUGUAGCCGGGUCUGCAAGUCAGAUGUGAAAUCCAUGGGCUUAACCCAUGAACUGCAUUUGAAACUGUGGAUCUUGAGUAGAGUAGAGGUAAGCGGAAUUCCGAGUGUAGCGGUGAAAUGCGUAGAUAUUCGGAGGAACACCAGUGGCGAAGGCGGCUUACUGGGCUCUAACUGACGCUGAGGCACGAAAGUGUGGGUAGCAAACAGGAUUAGAUACCCUGGUAGU
rnacentral:rRNA from 1 species